rnacentral:rRNA from 1 species
CGGCGGACGGGUGAGUAACGCGUGGGUAACCUGCCUCAUACAGGGGGAUAACAGUUGGAAACGGCUGCUAAUACCGCAUAAGCGCACAGUACCGCAUGGUACGUGUGAAAAACUCCGGUGGUAUGAGAUGGACUCGCGUCUGAUUAGCUAGUUGGUGGGGUAACGGCCUACCAAGGCGACGAUCAGUAGCCGGCCUGAGAGGGUGAACGGCCACAUUGGGACUGAGACACGGCCCAA